rnacentral:lncRNA from 1 species
CUUUUUUUUCUUUCUGGAAAGUUAACCGUUUCCCAUCAGGGUAAUGCCACGAAAUGCACUUUAAAACUGUUAACGGGGAGGGGGGUGGGUUGGGAGGGAGGGGGGGGAAGACGAAUUGAAAAUGGCAUUUCUUUCCACUUCACUUCAUUCCCCAGUGAAAGACACGAGGCUGCCCGAGUUAAACUGGUCUUUUCGUCCAAUAAAUUACUCCGCAACCCGACCGGAGGAGGUGGCGGUGGUGGAGGUGGAGGGGGGGGGGGGGGGGGGGGGGGGAAAGGAAAAAAAAAAAAGGGGCAGCGCAGCAAAAAGACGGGCGAGGGGCCGGGGGGACAGGGCCGUGUUCCCCCCCGGGUGGGACCCCAGACCCGCGGGGGGGCCCCCCCCCCAGCACCGCACCCCCAUUGCGGGGGCAAGGCUGGGGGGGCUGGCGGCACCCUGCCACCGGGGGAGGCCUAAAGGACCCCCCCUUCCCUCUCCAGGGAGCGCCACUUUCUCCGGGAAAACUCUGGAAAUGAACUGUGUGGUUUCACCUCCCGGAGCUCCUCCACAAUGGGCCCUGCUCGCCCCUGCCGCAACAAGCUGGGAGGGCCGAGCAGCUCUUCCCCCCCCGCCUCGACCCCCGCAAACACUGCCUGAAAAUGAAGUUUACUUUCUCGGCUCCCUUCUCCCUUCUCCCAAGUCGCCUCUGAGCGAGCGUCUGGGAGAGCCAAGCCCCUGGAAAGAGGGAGCUGGCGGUGUGCAGAUAUAUAUAUAUAUUAUAUUGCACAUAUAUGUGUCUGCAUGUACGUACAGGCAGGCGUGCGUACGUAGGCACACAUACAGAUAUAUGCGCUCUUCCUGCUGCAGCAAAAGGAGAAAAUAAGCAUUACACAUAUUUAAGAAGACUGGUUUAUAACAAAAGUUCACAUUAUACACAUAAAGCAAAGGCUAGAACACAGUAACACAUCGUGGACCGGUCACUGGUCGACUAACGCUCACCGUGGAAAAUGCAAGUCAUUUUCAAAACUAAGGUGGGAAAGGAAGAAAACAAAAUGAAUCUGUUUAUGUAAACUUCGAUUUCCUUGCAGUGCAAAUCGGUACGGUUAAAUACUGCCUACAUCAAAAGGGAUAGCUUCGCUUUUCUCUUCCUUUUCACAUACUCAUUCCUACAGGGGAUCCACAGAAAAUAAACACAGCAGCAUGUGCCA